UGAGCCAGAGGGAGGCAUUUGGAAUUCCUGGAUCCGAUAAAGACGCGCAUAUCACGCAGCAGUUGUCAAAUCUAUAUGUACUUUACAUACGUUAUAUUUAUAAAGAAUGGGUUAUUUGAAUACGUUUUAUCCAGGAGAUAGUUAUGGAAACUAGUAUAGGACAGGCCAUGAAUCCGGCACACACAGAAGAGAGCGCGGUUUUCACGCAACUAAAACCUGUGCGGCUGUCUGGAGCGGACGGCGCAGAUGACUCGUCCGUUUUUGAAGAAGUGAAACCCCCGACCCUGUUGGAGAUGGAAAAGUACCUCCCCCAGACCACAUGCAGUCUCCUCCAUCCUCCAUCCAUGGCCCAAACAGACAAGAACUGCGGAGAGAGCGCCUCAUUGGUAGACAAGUACUUCUCAGAGGAGAAGCACAACACAGCUCCCUACAACAUCAACCUCAUCCUCCCCAAAACCACCCACCUCUGCACCGGCCUGAACCGGCCCAACAAGCCCCAGCAGCACCACCAGACCCAUCUCCUCCAGCACAUCAAGACAGAGCCUCGGUUGGACGUCCCAGCUUCCUGCUCCAUCCAGACCCUGCCUGACUUCUUGUCUGUCUUCAGCAUUCCCCAGACCGUCAACACUAUGUUUAUCAAACCCGAUAUGGCCACCAGCGGACACCCAGUUUCAGAUACCGAGCUGCAUAUUGGCCCCCAACAACCGCAGGUCUACCAGAUGCCCAUCCCCGUCAGUGGAGCUGACCUCACAAUGACACUCUCCCGCAUCAGCCAAUCAGGGACCAGCGGAGCCGGCAAUGGUAGAACCAUGCUCAACCUGAACAGUGUCUCCUUGACAACGGUGGGUCAUGGCGGUGGUGACUCGUUGUUUGCAAUGCCGGAGCAUUUCUACCACCACCACGCCAAGGUGUCGCCCCAGUCACAGCCCCACAGUCUACCUCCCUCACCCCCCAACUCGCAGCCGGGUAGUCCUGAGAACCAGGCUGAGCUGCUGACCACUCCACCGCCCUUCCAGGCCUCUAGCAGACUGGGGUUAAAGGUCACCCAGAUGUCCCACCACUCCAUGCUUAUGGCCCACGGACAAUGGUUGCUGACAGGACCCAGGUACAACCGACGGAACAACCCUGAGCUCGAGAAGAGACGGAUCCACUUCUGUGACGGCUGCUCCAAGGUUUACACAAAGAGUUCUCACUUGAAGGCACACCAAAGGACACACACAGAAUACUGCCUCGGCAAAAGAUAAGGACAUCUCCCAGCCAGUCGAUGAACAAGGACACCUAAUCCGCCAACACCACAUCCACCACCAUCUCGACGCCACCCAAGAGGAUUCACCUCCAACCAGCAGAGGGCCUUCUACCACAAGCCAUCCCAGCGAGCCAGUCCCCCAGACUACCCAGCAGGCCACCCAGGUCAGUGAUUCCAUGGCUUCCUACUACAGUGCUCCCUCUAUUUCGCUCAUCAGAUGGCAGCCCCCACCACCGCGAGGUCCAAGGUUGCCACGGUCAUUUCCCUACUGACCGGGCGGGCGCUGGAGUGGACUACGGCUGCCUGGGAGAGAGGAGAGGAAGAUCUGGGUUCUUACGAGGGAUUCAUAGCUAUGUUCAGGGUGUUUUUUUUGACCAUCCACCAGAGGGCAGAGCGGAAGGUGAGAAACCAUUCCAACUCCGGCAGGGUGCCCAGACCGCUGCAGAGUACACCUUCCGGACCGUGGCAGCCUUCAACGGAUGGAAUGAAUAGGGUGUACUCCACACCCUAUUCUCAAGAGGACUGCACGAGGAGGUCCAGACAUAGUUGGCGUGAGACACCUGGGGCUGUGUCCCUAUUGAGGCCAGGAGGGGCACUGGCUCCAGCAGUGUCCGGUGCGUCCCAACCCGGAGUCCACUGGGACAGAGGGACUUCCCCUUGAUCAUCCAUCUCCCAGGGUCGGCGUGAGUGUUCCUUCAUCACAUUUUACACCAUACCCUUCAUGGUUUCCAUUUCGCUGGCUGUCUCUCAGGUGUUGUCUCUAAAGCUCUAGUGGACUCUGGUGUCGCUGGGAAUUUUAUCAACCAGGCCCUCAUCUCCUUCCUGAACAUCACCGCGUACCUGCUCUCCUCUCCUUUUCCGGCCCAAGCCCUUGAUAAACAACCAUUGGAAUCCGGCACUAUCACGCACAUCACAGCACCACUCACCCUUACCGUGGGACCCAUGCACCAAGAAAGCCUUCCAUUCCUCAUCCUCGGCCUUCCGUGGCUCCAACGUCAUGACCCCACCAUCUCCUGGUCGAGGAUGAAAAUCACUGCCUGGGCACCUGAAUGUCCCUUACCUUGCGGUUCCACAUCGAUUGAGAGUUAUGUGAGUGACCUCCAGCCCAUCAAUCCGUCCUCCCAUAUUGUUGGCCCUGUGUUUUGGGACAUAGAUGUGGACAUCCACCAGGCUCUGGAGAGUGAACCUGCGCCUGCUACCUGCCCUCCUGAGCACAUCUACGUCCCCACGGAGAGGAAUCUACAGGACGAAGCAGGUCUGGCUGGAAACAUUGAGGACUCAUAAUACAAGAAACUAAACCAAGGGACCUGAAGAAUUGUCAAUACUGUGGACAGAGAAGAAUUUAUGCAGCAACAUUUGGCUUCAAUUGAAUGGUGAGAUUUAUACGUUUACAUGUUGAAAUGGUAUGUUUUAGUUUGUGUUUUUUGUGUGGGACAUUUAGACACCACUUUUUGACAGAUAAUGAAUGCAAUGUACAUCCUCACCAGACAUUCCUGCCGGAUCAAGCCACGCUCCCUCCCUAUGUAGCUAAAUGGUCUCUUUCCAAAUGAACUCCACAGGGAGAUGGUGUCACUGUAGAAAUCUAAAAUACUCUAUUGUUUGCUUACGUCUGAGGUGGUAAAGGUUGCUUAUAUCACUGAAAAGUGUUACAUUGUAAUUAAUUGCUGAGAAUGUCCAAAAUCCAACAGAGUAUAUUCAUUUAAUUUCACCGCUGCUCUUUCACUGUAAAUGUCCAUUAAUGUUAUUAACACUUUUAUUUGCAUUUAUUUGCACCAAAGAAAACAAUUGAUAGACAACAGUACAGAUAUCUUUUUUAAAUUUUUUUAAAUGAUGUGCAGGUGUGUUUGGAAGCCCAAGGGCUUACAUGAAAAACACACCAAAAAAAACAACAAUAUAUAAUACAUCAGUACAAAAUAAAAAAAAGGUUUGUUAAAACAUAACGAAACUUACUAAUUAUGCAUGUAUAAAUGAAUUGAACCGUAAUAUUUGUUUUGUUUAAAUGUGCGUGCCUGUGAGUGCUAGGCUAUAUGGAGAAGAUUACUGAGGAGUUUGGUUCAUCAGGCUGACCCCCAGUCUUCACUUGUAGUUAUUGAGGGAUAAUGAUGUUUUGGCAAUGUGAAAGAUAAGAAUUCCAGAGUAUGGUACCUCUAUAUCUGAUAGUCAGUUCUCUAUGUGAGGUUCGGCAGUUGGGAGGGUGAAGGUUAUCACAGUGUCUUGUAUUAUCUACACUGAAAAACCCAACAAGUUCUGUGAACUCAUUUUUUGGGGGGGGAAAACGAUCGCCUAAAAGAAACGUCUGUUAAACUGAAAAGUUAAAAGUAAGGUCACACCUAAUUAUUUUUGAAUGACUU